rnacentral:lncRNA from 10 species
GUGGGACAGGCAGGGCCCCUGUGGGGUGGCUUGACUGGCCUGGAGUUGGGGACGAAGUCCCCGGGCUUGGUCCCCCGAGGGCUUGGUUGGGCGUCCCGGGGUAGGUGGCUGCCGCGGCGAUGUGGGCGGCUUGCGUGUGGCCGAUCGGGGUCGCUGCUGAGCCCCGGAGAGCGGAGGGUCCAGGCUAGGCUGGGGGAGCGAGAGGCGAGGGCGGAGCCGCGGAGGUGUGGGCGGCUUUCGUGGUCCGAGAGGCCCCAGGUUCCCGGCAGGGCGGGGAAGGCUGGGGCGGGGCCAGAGCCGGAGCCGCGAAGCCGCGAUGGAGAGGGCCUGGAGGGUGCGCCAGGAGCCGGCGUCAGGGCCUGCCUCCAUCUCCUCCAACCCCCACCCCAUUUAUUCCUGUAACAAAUCCCUACCGGGAGCUGGCACAGCAGCUGUGCGCUGGGGACACACGAGAUGCUCACCCUCCCUGCCCUCCAGGAGCUUGGACUCAGCUGAGAUGCCUGGUAUCCAACUGCACUUCUCCAUGUGUGCAUUGUCCCCUGAGCUGGCAAGAAGAUCCUACUAGUUGGUCUGCAUGCCAUGCCAGCUCGGCCUUGCACCCUGGGGGCCCAGCUGUUGUCCACACCAAGGGUGGCCUACAGAGGGAAGUGAGGACCUUGGGACUUCCUCCAGGACAGCCCUCGCUGUCCAAAUCUCCACCUGCUGCAGAGCUGCCUCCAGUCAAGCCCUUGUUUCCAGCUUUCUGUGCCCUAAAUAAACUUCUGCUGGGAUUGAGCCAUCAGCAUUCUGUGGUGGGCGUCGCUGCUGCGAGGUUGCCCUCGUGCACACAAGCUCCUCACAGGACUUCCAGGAUGAUAUGGAAGAGUGACUGAGAGCAGCCGCCCGGUGCUUCCCAACCUUAGAGGGAGGUCACGGGCAGUCUCCCUGCGAUGCUGGCCACAGGGUCUCGCUGUGUCGCCCAGGCUGGAGGGCAGUGGUGUGAUCUGGACUCACUGCAGCCUCGACCUGUUGGGCUCAAGUGAUCCUCUCACGUCAGCCUCCAAGUAGCCAAGACCACAGGCAGGCGUCACCAUGCCCAGCCCCCAUGAUGACUUUACUUUUCUUCUUGAACCUGGUGAAUUUCUGUGUUAACAUGUCUGAUUUGAACCCUUCUGAUAUUCCUGAGAUAAACUUUAUGUGACCUUGGUAUUCUGUUGGAUUUUGGUUAGCUGAUACUUCAAGAUUUUUAUAAAACUGGGUUGCAAUUUAUUUGUGUUCCCGUUUCUAGCUGUCUAUGAGCUUCAUCAAAUGGGCAGGACCACUUUCCCUUAACUUCUCCUUUUCUGGAACAACGGACAUAUCCUGUGGAUUAUCUGUUCCCCACAGGUUUGGGAUAUGGGUGCUGUGAAUGCCACUGUGCUGGGGGCUUUGGGAAGUGUGUGUUUGUUUUCGUGCGUGUGCGGUGGGAUACAGGUGUGGUUACUACUUUGAUUUCUUUCUUUCUUUUUUUUUUUUUUUUUUUUGAGAUGGAGUCUCACUCUGUUGCCCAGGCUGAAGUGCAAUGGCGCGAUCAUGACUCACUGCAACCUCCGCCUCCUGGGUUCAAGCGACUCUCCUGCCUCAGCCUCCAGAGUUGCUGGGAUUACAGGCACCCACAACCAUACCCUAAAUUUUGUACUUUUAGUAAAGAUGGGGUUUCACCAUUUGGCCAGGCUUGUCUUGAACUCCCAAUUACCAAUUUCUUAUGUGUCCUUUUGAAGACUUUCUAAGUACGACCAACCUAGUAAAAGUCCUGGAAGUUAAAUGCUCUAUUUCCCAGCCUCCCUUGCAGCUAGGAGCAGUCAUGUGACUCCAUUCUGGCCAACGAGAUACAAGAAACACUUGCUGACAGGUGCAAUCAGAAAGCGUUUGCUUUUCCAGUAACAUGUAGGACCAGUCACCUUUUUGCAUUUCCCCUUUCUUCUUGAUUCGAACAUUGCAUUGCCGUCAUGUUUGGAGAUGAGUCAGCCAUCUUGCAAAUAGGAGGCAGCAAGACUGAGGGAAAUGCCAUCCUGCUUCAGAGGGCAGAAUGGAAAGAGAAGCCUAAGAUGGCAAUGGUACGGUUGGGCAGCUGAGUCAGGACUGGGGCCACUGCCUCUCGGUUUCAAGGGAGAAAAAUAAACCCCUGUUUGUUGGCCUCAUGCUAGGUUGGAUUUUCUUUUACUUAAAGCCAAGACAUUUCUAACAUACAAAACCAGACACAUGUGCAUGCCACACGUACAUCACAAGUGAUCACAUGCUGUCCGACUAGCACCUCGAUUUUUCCACUGAACCAUCAGUCUUGCAGAUCAUCCUUUAUCAGUGCCUGGCAACUUGUCUUGCCCUUGUUUUCUUGGGUUUUUGUUUUUGUUUUUGUUUAAGACAAGGUCUCAUCUGUUGCCCAGGCUGGAGUGCAUUGGCACAAUCAUAGCUCACUACAGCCUGGACCUUCUGGGCUCAGCAGUCCUCCGUCCUCAGCCUCCCGAGUAGCUGGUACUAAAGGCAUGUGCCACCAUGCCCGGCUAAUUUUCACAUGUUCUUUUAGAGACUGGGUCUUGCUUUGUUGCCCAGGCUGGUCUUGAACUCCUGGACUCAAGCAGUCCCCCUGCCUAGGCCUCCCAAACUGCUGACACUACAGGCAUGAGCCACUCCACCCAGCCUCGUUUUUGUUAAUGGCAGUAUACCACCACUCUGGAUGUGUAAUAUGAUUUAUUUAACCAGCCUCAUCGACCUUUUGAGUUGUUUCCAAACUCUUUGCUAUUGAGGUAGGAAACAGAACUCAACUCUGGAGGUAGGGCUCAGACACUGGACCAAAUUGAGGACUACCUAAGCAGGUCCAGGGCAGAGGCACCUCCCUAUAAGACACACCCACCAGUGUGCCAUGUCAGUUUACCACUACCAUGGCAACAUCUAGAAGUUAUGGCAUCUUUCCAUGGCAAUGACCUGGCAACCCAGAAGUUACCACCCUCACCCUAGAAAUGUCUGCAUAAACUACCCCUUAAUUUGCAUGUAAUUAAAAGUGGGUAUAAAUCUGAGUGCAGAGCUGCCUCUGAGCGCUGCUCUGGGCAUACUGCCUGUGGGUGGCCCUGCUCCACAAGGGACAGUUCCUGUGUUGCUGCCAUGCAUGGCUGCUCUGCUAUGCACAGCAGCUUGCCUCUGAAUUCUUCCCUGGGUGAAGCCAGGAACCCUCCUGGGCUAAGCCCCGAUUUGGGGGUGUGCCUGCCCUGCACCACUGUUAUGGACAAUGCUACAAUGAAUAACCUUGCACAUACCUCACUUCACACACGAGAACAUAUCCAUAGGAUAAGUUCCUCGCAGUGAAGAUUGUUGUCUUAUGAUGUUCAACCACUGGAUCUGAGAACACGAUAUGCCUUUCAUUCUCUCAGGUCUCCUUUCAUGUCCCUCAGUGGAUUUAAAGUGUUCUUCUUUUUGAUUGUACAUGUUUCUUUUUAGGUUUAUUCCUAGGUUUUAUUUUUUUUUUUUUGGUGCUGUGGUAAAUGAGAUAUUUUUUCUCAUCAAUAUUCCUGCUCACAAGUCAUUUUUUAUGUAGAUGAAGGCUAAUUAUCAUGUUACUUUCGUCCCAGCCACAAAACUUUUUUUUUUUUUUUUUAGAUGGAGUCUCGCUCUGUCACCCAGGCCGGAGUGCAGUGGUGUGAUCUUGGCUCACUGCAAGCUCUGCCUCCAGAGUUCACACCAUUCUCCUGCCUCAGCCUCCUGAGUAGCUGGGACUACAGGCACCUGCCACCAGGCCCGGCUAAUUGUUUUUGUAUUUUCAGUAGAGAUGGGGUUUCACUGUGUUAGCCAAGAUGGUCUUGAUCUCCUGACCUCGUGAUCCGCCCACCUCGGCCUCCCAAAGUGCUGGAAUUACAGGUGUGAGCCACCGUGCCCGGCCUCCAGCCACAAAACUUAAAUAUUGUUUGUCAUAGAAAUUAAAUUGAUUCUCUUGGAUUUUCCAAGGACUUAAUCAUGUCAUCUGCAAAAAGUGAUAUUGUAUUUCCUCCUUUGCAUUUUUUAAACUUAAUUUCUUUCUCUCUUCCAAUUGCAAAAAAAUUAAAUAACAGUGAUGAUAGAAGACACCUUCCUGAGCUUUCACCUUGACAGAGAUGCUUCUAGUAUCUUCCCCAUUUGACACAGGAGUAGCUUUGAGGCUGACAUAAAUGAAUGGCAGCACAUUGAGAAAGUAUUACUGAGAAUGCAAGUUGAUUCUGGGCACGACGAGUAAUGAGAUUUAUACUUAGCCUCCUGCCAUAAACAACGAUAAAGUUGGGCCAAAUGUAUAAGGCAGUUAUGUACAGGAAUUGGACAACUGGUAGGACUGUGAUAGCUGAGAGAAGGGAAAUACCUGAAGUGAGUCCAAGUUUGCCCUGUCUUUUUACCUUGGGUUUUCCUACCAAGGUAUGAGAGAUAAAGCCGCAGCAGAGAUCAUCAGCCAGCGAUCACUGGCUGGGAAAGCAGAGAUCAGUGCUGAGGUGGCUACGAUUGGUAGAGCAGGGCACUGGAGGGGAGGGUGCUACGUAGAAUGAGGGUGCAGAGGCUGCAUGGGGGUCCCUCAGGUCCCUGGAUGAGGCCAGGCUGUACAUGUGCAAGGUGAUCCUUCACAAGGCCUAGCGGGAAGCUGCUGCUGUGGGGCUGGGAGCUGACAGACAAGCCCAGCAGUGUGCAGUGCUAGGCGACAUUGCAGUUCUUGCCCAGCUAGGGUGGAGAAACCUCACCAAGCCCCUCAGGCAAUCAGUUGAGAAAUCAGAAAGGCCAUGGCUUAAGAAUAAGAAUCGCACUCCAGAAUAAUGGCCAAAGCACAGAACUAAGAACACAACCAAAACAGACUCACCCUUACAAAGCAUAAAAUCAAGCCUGCAGUGAUAUCAGCAAAAUGAUGGAAUUGGAAGCUCUGGACUCUCCUUUUCAAAACCAUGAACACAUCAACUCAACAACAAUUCCUGAAAAUUCCCUUUGCAAGAAAUCCAGAAACUAGCUGAGCAUCUCACGCAUUCCAGACAGGAAAACAAUGUAUGAACAAUGGGAGAAUUUCAACAAAGAGACAGAAAAUGCUAAAAAGUACCAAACAGAAAUCAUGGAGCUGAAGAAUAUGAUAACUGCACUGAAAAAGUCACUAGAUGAGGGGAACAGUAGACUGGAUCAAGCAGAAAAAAGGAUCAGUGAACUCAAAGAAAGGUCAUUGGAAAUUAAUCAUAGGAGCAAACGGAAAAAAAGAAAAAGAGUAAAGAAAGUAGAAGGGACUUAUGGGACACCAUCAAUCAGACCAAUAGAUGCAUUAAGGGAGUCCCAGAAAGAUAAGGGAAAGAAUCAUUAUAUUCAAAGAAAUAACGGUUGAAAACUCCUCAGAUCUGUGGAAGAAAAUGGACACCCAGAUUCAAGAAGCCCAAAAGAUCCCAAAUAAGAUGAACUCAAAGACAUUUACAGCAAGGGACAUUAAAAUCAAGUUGUCAAAGACAAAGAAUUAGAAAGCAGCAGGGAAAAGUGACUUGUCACAUUUAAAAGAAUCUCCAUAAGAAAUAAGCUAAUUUUUCAGAAAUCUUGCAAACCAGAGGGAAUGGGAUGACAUACUCAAAGUGCUGACAUUUUUAAAACUACCAAGCAAGAAUACUGUGCCUGGGAAAAAACUGUCUUUCAGAAAUGAAGAUGAGCGACAUACUUUCCAGACAAACAAAAGCUGACACUGUUCUUCACUAUGAACUUGCCUUGUAAGAAAUAAUGAAGGGAGUUAUUUCACUGGAAAUGAAAGGACAAUAAACAGCAACAUGAUAGCAUAAGAAAACAUAAAACUCUUUUUAUUUAUUUGUUUUUUGUUUUUGGUUUUUUUUGAGAUGGAGUUUCGCUCUUGUCGCCCAGGCUAGAGUACAAUGACACCAUCUCAGCUCACUACAACCUCCACCUCCCAGGUUCAAGCAAUUCUCCUGCCUCAGCCUCCCAAGUAGCUGGGAUUACAGGCAUGCGCCACCACACCCGGCUAAUUUUUGUAUUUUUAG